GAUGAAGAACGUAGCGAAAUGCGAUAAGUAAUGUGAAUUGCAGAAUUCAGUGAAUCAUCGAAUCUUUGAACGCAUCUUGCGCUCCUUGGUAUUCCUUGGAGCAUGCCUGUUUGAGUAUCAUGAGCAAAUCUCAAAGUCAAUUCCUUUUGUUGAUUCAAUUGGUUUUGCUUUGGACUUGGAGGCCUUGCAGAUUUCACAGUCUGCUCCUCUUAAAUGCAUUAGCUGGAUCUCAGUAAUUAUUCUUGGUUCCACUCGGCGUGAUAAGUAUCACUCGCUGAGGACACUGUUAAAAAGGUGGCCAGGAAAAUACUGAUUGAACCGCUUCUAACGGUCUAUUAAGUUAGACAAUUACCCUUAAGUUUGAUCUCAAAUCAGGUAGGACUACCCGCUGAACUUAAGCAUAUCAAUAAGCGGAGGA
rnacentral:misc_RNA from 1 species